rnacentral:lncRNA from 1 species
UUUCUUAGAGGUUAUACAAAUAACUACUAAAGUUUGAAAAAAUAAAGAGAGGUCAACUCAAUCUUUAUCAAAUUAAAUUAAAGUUUAUUUUAAAACACAAACGACUAGUUCAUUAAAAUGAUAACUUGUUUAGUACACAAACAAUAUCUUACUUAAUACAUAGAAAUAAGAUCUUACGGAACAUAGAGAUUAAAAACAUAGGAACAACAUGAAAAGUUUUUAAAAUGACAUAGAUAUUGAUUAACAAAGAUAUGAACUAGUUUCGGGUAUUUUUAACCAUCCAUCAAGGUAAACUUGUUUGGAGUCAGGGUGGGAUUUUGGUCUAAUAUCUUUCAACCAUCCAUCAAGGUAAACUUGUUUGGAAUCAGAGGAGGAUUUUGCUUUUUCGCUCGAGUGUCUUUCAACCAACAUCAAGAUAAACUUGUUUGGAGAUCAGAGGUGGAUUUUUUUGUUUUUCUCUGCUCGAGUAUCUUUCAACCACCCAUCAAGGUAUACUUGGUUGGAGUCAGGGGUAGAUUUUGUUCUCGUCGUUUCGAAUAUCUUUCAACCAUCCAUCAAGGUAAACUUGGUUGGAAUCAGAGGAGGAUUCUUUCUUUUUCAGCUCGAGUGUCUUUCAACCAACCAUCAAGAUAAACUUGUUUGGGAUCAGAGGUGGAUUUUGUUUUCUCUACUCGGGUAUCUUUCAACCACCCAUCAAGGUAUACUUGGUUGGAGUCAGGGGUAGAUUUUGUUCUCUCGUUUCGAAUAUCUUUCAACCAUCCAUCAAGGUAAACUUGGUUGGAGUCAGACAUGGUUUUUGUUUGCUUUGCUCGAGUAUUUUUCAACCAUCCAUCAAGGUAAACUUGGUUGGAGUCAGAUGUAGAUUUUUCUUUCUCAGCUCGGGGAUCUUUUAACCAUCCAUCAAGAUAAACUUGUUUGGAGUCAGAGGUGGAUUUUGUUUUCUCUGCUCGGGUAUCUUUCAACCAUCCAUCAAGGUAAACUUGAUUGGAGUUAGGCAUGGACUUUUCUUUCUCGACUCUGAUAUUUUUCAACCAUCCAUCAAGAUAAACUUGGUUUGAGUCACUUGCAGGUUUUGUUUUCUCAACUCGGGUAUUUUUCAACCAUCCAUCAAGGUAAACUUGGUUGGAUUCAGAGGUGGAUUUUGCGUUCUCUGCUCUGGUAUCUUUCAACCAUCCAUCAAGGUAAACUUGGUUGGAGUUAGGUGUUGACUUUUCUUUCUCAGCUCUGAUAUCUUUCAACCAUCCAUCAAGAUAAACUUGGUUGGUGUCACCGGUAGAUUUUGCUUUCUCAGCUCGAUUAUCUUUCAACCAUCCAUCAAGGUAAACUUGGUUGGACUCAGAGGUGUCUUUUGCUUUCUUUGCUCUGGAAUCUUUCAACCAUCCAUCAAGAUAAACUUGAUCAGAUUUCUGGGAGGAUUUGGUUUUCUCUGCUCGUGUAUCUUUCAACCAUCCAUCAAGAUAAACUUGGUUAGAGUUAGCAAUGUGUUUUUGACUCUUCAAUGGAUUUUUGAGCCAACCAUCAAGGUAAGGUUGAUCAGCUUGUAUUUCUUGUACAUUCUCUUGCUGAAGUUUGAUAUAUCGGGCAAAGCUUCCUUGUCCAUUCUACAAUACAAUUGAAUAAAUGGAUAUUAGUGAGUUAUUUUUGGAUGGUAUAUAUGAUUACAAAAACAAAAUAAUGUGUUUUAUAAGACACAUUAUGU